rnacentral:lncRNA from 1 species
AUCAGAUUUUUGUGUAAUCUACCCAUCUUGUUUCAGUUCAACGUUUUAGGAUUCUUGAUCUUUUGGCUUUUAUAUUCUUAACUUGCACUGUCUGAAGGGGGACUCGGUCUUCAAAUGAUGAGCUACAGAACAAUAUGUAUUUUCAAGUGUGAAAUGGGUGAAUAUCAGACAGCUCAUUAUAGAGACAAGAAUGCUGCAUUCCCAAAGUAGGAUGACAGAACAAGUCAUGAUCUUGUACAGAAGGAAAAUGAAAUCCCUGGUGAAGCCUACAGUGUCAUCGACUCUGAAGAAGGACUCAGAGACCCAUUGGUGUUUAAUGACCCUUAUUGGCCUGCACGAACGAAACUGACUAUUUAACUUCCAUGGAGCUGCAGAACUCAUGCUAUCUACAAGGCUAGCAGAACAAAAAACUGACCCUGCUUCAAAGAGCUUGUGGUAGAGUAAAAUAAACCGUUGAAUAUUUUCA